rnacentral:lncRNA from 1 species
UCACAAGGUAGGAGCUACAAGCUAGAUUGGCUGAUAAAUGUUUCCAAUUUCCUCGCCACCACCUGAAAUACGAUAUUAAUAACCAAUUUAUCCUCUAUCUAAUCAAGAAACCUUAAUAUCUAAUGAUAGAACUUAAAAUUAAAUUUUCUGGACACUUGAAUAAGUUCUCAAAUUUUCCUUAUUAAUUGGAGCUAAUCACACUUUAUAAUCCAUUGACUAAUAACUAAUUUGUCAACAUAACCUUCACUUCCAAACAUCACUAUGACAUCCACAUCAUUCAAGUGACAAGAAGUUGCUAUAAUUCAACUAAUUAAAAUUUUCCUCUUGUUCCAUAAUUUCAUGCUUCCAAUUAAUUAUUUUCUCAACAUCAUCAUUUCCAUAAACAUACUUAAUCCCAAAAAUCCCAAAUAAAAUUUCUAGGGUUUGCUAAAAUAAUAUCCCUUACCUAGCUGAAAUUGAAAAUGAAGAAAUCCCCAAACUUGAGCUCCAAUUUGUACAAAUAUCACCUAAAAUUCGACAUUUUAUUCUACAAGUUAAAACCCUAAAAAUUAAUAUAAAUCAUACUUAAUCACUCGAAAACAAGUGGAAAAAUUAAACCCAACUUGAAGAGAUUAACCUCACCUCUUUUCUUCUUCUUUUUCCCUUCUUCUUUUCCUUUUUCUUUUUCUUUUUCCUUUCUUCUUUCCCUUUUUCUCCUUCACAGCCUGUCUCUGCUUCUCUUGUUACUGUGUGUGUGUGUGUUUUGGUGUGAAAUGAGAGAAAAUGGGUCAAAUGGUUGAAUUAAAUGGUCCACUAACCCAUAAUUGCAAACUAAGUCCUUAACUCUCUUUUUCAUAUCACAUUUAAUCCUAACACUUCCAAAAUUAUAUAAGUAAG